CGUAUGGUGCCAAACUUCGGGUUUGGAGAGCGAUACGGCCUUAAAUUAGAGGU
ncrna:Pseudoalteromonas luteoviolacea 2ta16 L31-Gammaproteobacteria ribosomal protein leader